AUUGAACGCUGGCGGCAGGCCUAACACAUGCAAGUCGAGCGAGCGGCGGACGGGUGAGUAAUGUCUGGGGACUGCCCGAUCGAGGGGGAUAACUACUGGAAACGGUGGCUAAUACCGCAUACUAUCGGAUAACCCAUAUGGGAUUAGCUAGUAGGUGGGGUAAAGGCGCACCUAGGCCACGAUCUCUAGCUGUUCUGAGAGGAUGAUCAGACACACUGGAUCUGAGACACGGCCCAGAUUCCUACGGAGGCAGCAUGGGGGAAUAUUGCCCAAUGGGCGCAAGCCGUAUGCAGCCAUGCCGCGGGUAUGAAGAAGUCCUUAGGGUUGUAAAGUCCGUUCAGCGGCGAGGCGUUACCCGCAGAAGAAGCCACGGCUAACUCCGUGCCAGGAGCAGCGGUAAUAC
rnacentral:rRNA from 1 species